UCCGGAGCGACUAACAUUUGAAACUUUGAUAACGGAGAAAUUCACCGUGUCCGUUUAUCGAAACGGCAUACAACCUGUCCACGUCGCCACUUCCGACCCAAUAUCGCACUGAUUUCCGAGGUCUUUGUAUUUUUCAUCUUUGAAAAAAUACUCCGGAAAACUUCGGUGUGUCAGGCGAACACUGAGUAUCUACCUACAUAGUUAUAGCCACGUGUAUAGGUAUAAAUAAAACCGUACGUGGUAUUGCUUUUUAACUUUGCUACAACGUUCCGCAGUUGCAAUAUAAGCGCGUAGGAGUUCGAAUUUAGUUUAUUUCGUGUUUUUAUUUUACGCUGUCCGCCGACUCUGCAGAACAAAUCACUCGACUGGCGCUCGACGAUAAUAAAUAUUAUUAGGUACGAUACUUUACUCCUCGACUUUUAC